UACAGAGGGGGCACGCGUUGCUCUGAAUUCCUGGGCGUAAAGGGCGCGUAGGCGGGAUGGCGAGUCGGUCGUGAAAUCCCUCGGCUCAACUGAGGAACGUCGAUCGAUACUGCUGUUCUUGAGGAUUGCAGAGGAGACUGGAAUUCCCGGUGUAGCGGUGAAAUGUGUAGAGAUCGGGAGGAACACCGGUGGCGAAGGCGGGUCUCUGGGCAAUUCCUGACGCUGAGGCGCGAAAGCGUGGGGAGCAAACGGG
rnacentral:rRNA from 1 species